ACUGUAUGUCUGGAAUAAAAAACUAAACACACACUAUUCCUUAUUUUUUAGGGCUGUGCAAUGGGAGGUCACAAUAUCGGCCGUGUUUUCGUCAUAGUGCUUGCUGUUAUAGUGUACAUAGUUGGCAUCAUAUUCAACGUUCUUGCUGCUCAAGGACUGUCUCCUUUCCUGACACUCACUGCAAACAUCUCAGAUAAAUUUAAUACUCAGAUCACUCCGUCAGGAUGGACCUUCUCCAUCUGGGGUGUCAUCUAUUUCUGGUUAACUGCUCUGCUUACCUACAUUCUGAGCACUUUAUGCAGAAGGAAUUCUUAUGGCCCGAUGUACUGUAGUCCUUCAGUCCUGCCGUACGGGUUCUUCGUCUGCUGGAUUCUGAACAUUUUAUUUAACAUCAUUUGGCUUCUUUUG